UUGAUUUUCCGCCAAAAUCGAACGCGGCAAACCUUUUCACUUUUUCCGGUUUUUUAGCCCACUCACUAAUAACCAUUCUGGCUAGGGUUUUUCUUAUCAGUUCUACUUGAAAGAGCUCCUCCCCCGCUGCGUCCUCUUUGUUUCGUGUUGUGGCUGAUCGGAGAAGAACCGGACUCAAACUCAAUGCAAAGAAUGGGUGAGCGAAACAAAACCAAUAAGGCAAAUCAAGAAAUGAAUCAUAUUUGCGGCAGAAAAUUAUUCCAGGCAAUAUCUUUUGAACAUGAUAAGGUGAACGAAUAUAUUGCUGAACAAAUCCAAGAAAUUGAAGAGGAUACCGAUUUGGACCCGAUUGUUAAUGCUGCAUUUGUGAAAGUUGUUGGAGAAACGUCAAGUUAUUGUCGGGGUCAAGGAUCGGGAGUUAAGUCAACAAGUAGGAGAUCCAUGAAUGGAAUUCUAGAGAAACUGCAAGCACAACAAAAAGAGGCAGAAGAAGAACGUCGUAAAUAAGAGAGUGUAGAAUGCCAGCUAAAAAAAGUACAGAAACAGCUUGAGGAGGUGUGGAAAAAUCGAGAAGCCAUGGUGCUUGACCAAAAAUUGUUAAAAGAGAGCAUGAUGGCACUAGCAUCCCAUAUAUUAAGUACUGAGGAUGAGGAUGAAUAAACCAACAUAACUGACAAUAUGAUUCAUCUAAUGCUCAAGCUAUUAGAAGAAGAUUUACUUUUGGGUUGUUAUUAGAUUAGAAAUUAUGACCCUGUAGGUGCUCUUGUUUUUAUUUUUAAGUAAGAACAUGUGUUUUAGUAGUAUUUAGUUUUUGAAUGUAUGUAAAUACUUAGUGCAUCAGUUGUAUUGACCUUUACAAAUAUAUAUCAUAUAUUAAUUUUUAUAUAUAUUUGUGAUAGUUUAAAAGAAAAUGUGAUUUGU